rnacentral:lncRNA from 1 species
AAUUCACCAUCGAUCGCUUUUGAGUUCAGUGGUAGUAGCUGAUAAGUUGUGUUCUUCUAAUUCCCUGAUCAAAAUGGCCUCGAUUAGAGAUUUUGCCAAGAGAUAUGAAGCUGACUGCAGACACCUCAACCAAUUCUUUUCUGGAAAUGUUUCCCCGAACAAUGCGAGACCGGUCCUGGAGAUCUUCACCGCAAGGAGCAGCCAGGAGAUGAAGCAAAUCUGCAGGGCUUACAGCAGCAUGUAUCGCCAAGAUCUCAUCCAGCUACUGUCGCAGCAGAAGACCACCUUUGCAAGGGUGGCGUGCCUCAGAGCUAGCGAGCCGUGCGUCCGCGACGCAGACAUCGCCAGGGACGCGCUGUUCGGGCGGCGGAUCGACGGCGACGUGCUCGUCGAGGUCGUGUGCACGCGGCCCUCCGGCGAGGUCGCGCUGAUCAGGCAGGCGUACCAGGCCCGGUACAGCGCCAGCCUCGAACGCGACGUCUCGUCGAGGACAAGCGGCAGCCUCAACGAGGUUCUUCUCGCGUUCUUGGGAUCGAGCGGGAGCGGCUACCAUGGCGGCCGGGUGGACGCGACGAUGGCGAUGUGCGACGCCAAGACGCUGUACGAGGCGGUGGAGAUCAGCGCGGCGCGGGUGGACCAGAGGAGCGUCCUGCAGCUGCUGCGCCACCGGAGCGGCGACCAGCUCAGGGCGGUGCUCGCGUCGUACAGGCGGCUGUACGGGCAGGAGCUCGCGCGGGCGCUGAAGAGGAAGGACGGCGACACCAGCGGCGGCGGCGGUGGCCGGCGAGGCGAGUCGUCGUCGUUCCCGGGCAUCCUCCGCGCGGCGCUGCGGUGCGCGCAGCUCCCCGAGAGGCACUUCGCGAGGGCGGUGCGCGCGGCGCUGGAGCGCGGCGAGGGAGGCGCUGGUGCGGACCGUCGUGACGCGCGCGGGCGUCGACGUGCGCCGCGUCAACCAGGCGUUCGCGGCCAAGACCGGGUGGACGCUGGAGAGCGUCGUCCGGAACGAGUUCGGCAGCGGCGGCACCGGGAAGUCGGACGACGGCUUGACCGGCGACUUGCUCGUGGAGUUGCUCAAGUUGGCCUGAGGACAAGAGAUUGAGAUUUUCUGCAGUUACUGUACCGUGCCUUUGUCACUAACAUACGGGUCCGAUGAUCUUCGAGCCCACAUAUCAGUGAUAAAGGCACGGUGCAGUCGACUGCACAUGAUCAUAAUCCGAGGAGAGAUUGAGAUCCUCUACAGUUAUUGCACCGUGUUUUUGUCACUGACAUGAAGUCCACCCUCACUAGCGGGCACCAAGCCUCUUGUCUCUCGAGCCGUCAGAUGAUCGAUCAGCUGCGAGGAUCCAUCACAAUCUUCCAUUCUUCCUGCAUGUAGUGGAGAUUGCAACUGAUACAUCUCACGUUUGUCAAGAGUUAGAUUUGUUACUGUAUUUUGGUGAUAAAUAUAAUGAAAUAAUGAGGCGAAGAAUUAUACUG